rnacentral:rRNA from 1 species
GACGAACGCUGGCGGCGUGCUUAACACAUGCAAGUCGAACGGAAAGGCCCUGCUUUUGUGGGGUGCUCGAGUGGCGAACGGGUGAGUAACACGUGAGUAACCUGCCCUUGACUUUGGGAUAACUUCAGGAUACUGGGGCUAAUACCGGAUAGGAGCUCCUGCUGCAUGGUGGGGGUUGGAAAGUUUCGGCGGUUGGGGAUGGACUCGCGGCUUAUCAGCUUGUUGGUGGGGUAGUGGCUUACCAAGGCUUUGACGGGUAGCCGGCCUGAGAGGGUGACCGGCCACAUUGGGACUGAGAUACGGCCCAGACUCCUACGGGAGGCAGCAGUGGGGAAUAUUGCACAAUGGGCGGAAGCCUGAUGCAGCAACGCCGCGUGCGGGAUGACGGCCUUCGGGUUGUAAACCGCUUUCGCCUGUGACGAAGCGUGAGUGACGGUAAUGGGGAAAGAAGCACCGGCUAACUACGU